rnacentral:lncRNA from 10 species
UUUCUUUGGAGAACUACUUUCUCUCUUGUUAUUUUAGCUUGACAUAAUCUGGCAUCAGAAGUAGGACCCAAAGUGAGCUCAUCUUGGAAUGAUCAUCAGCCCCUGAAACCAUGCAUGUUCAGGAUCUUAUUUGGAUAAGGUCACCUCAAUAAAAGGCCUUGAAUCCCUUCUUAGCCUAAAAACAACUUUGUCUUUUCUGGGAAGCCCUUCACAAGAUAAGAACAUUGUCCUUCUGAGACCAUCAAGCUUCAGAAGAUCAUGUGACAAAUGUUCCAGCCAGUUCCAGUUGAAGACACCACCCCUGGCCAUCAAGAAGCUACUCUGCCUCCACUAGACAGAGCAGGGUGACAGUUCCGUGAUCCCCAAUAGGUAGGGACUUUGCUUCAAGCCAGCAUGAGGCAGUUACAGAAGAAAGACCAUUAGUCACUCCACCUCCCAUAAAGAUUUAUGGGGAUGACAUCUCUCAGGGAGGAAAUGAGGCAGGAAAAUAGGAUCUGGAGGCAUAGAACAUAAGGCCUAUUCACACUUCAGCUAUGCCGGGAAAUAUUAUCUCCAUUUACAUAGGGCAUACACAAAGUAACCAAUGGAAACCUCUAGAGGGUAUUUAAAUCCCCCAAAAUUCUGUAACAGGACCCUUGAGCCCCUAUGCUUGGGCCCACUCCCACACUGUGGAGUGUACUUCCAUUUUCAAUAAAUAUCUGCUUUUGUUGCUUCAUU